CCCAGACUCCUACGGGAGGCAGCAGUGGGGGAUAUUGGACAAUGGGGGGAACCCUGAUCCAGCGACGCCGCGUGAGUGAAGAAGUAUCUCGGUAUGUAAAGCUCUAUCAGCAGGGAAGAAAGAAAUGACGGUACCUGAGUAAGAAGCCCCGGCUAACUACGUGCCAGCAGCCGCGGUAAUACGUAGGGGGCAAGCGUUAUCCGGAUUUACUGGGUGUAAAGGGAGCGUAGACGGCAGUGCAAGUCUGAAGUGAAAGCCCCGGGCUUAACCCGGGAAUUGCUUUGGAAACUGUACGGCUGGAGUGCUGGAGAGGUAAGCGGAAUUCCUAGUGUAGCGGUGAAAUGCGUAGAUAUUAGGAGGAACACCAGUGGCGAAGGCGGCCUGCUGGACAGAAACUGACGUUGAGGCUCGAAAGCGUGGGGAGCAAAUAGGAUUAGAUACCCCGGUAUAC
rnacentral:rRNA from 1 species